UACGUAGGGGGCUAGCGUUGUCCGGAAUCAUUGGGCGUAAAGCGCGUGUAGGCGGUCCGGUAAGUCCGCUGUGAAAGCCAGGGGCUCAACCCUUGGAUGCCGGUGGAUACUGUCGGGCUUGAGUACGGAAGAGGCGAGUGGAAUUCCUGGUGUAGCGGUGAAAUGCGCAGAUAUCAGGAGGAACGCCAAUUGCGAAGGCAGCUCGCUGGGACGUUACUGACGCUGAGACGCGAAAGCGUGGGGAGCAAACAGG
rnacentral:rRNA from 1 species